AGUACUUGUUGAAUUUAAACAAAUCCAAAACAAUCAAGUCAAUCAACGAUAACGACUCGUUCCCAGUGUUACAUAUCAGAACAACCGAAAACUAAAUAAUGAAAACGAUAAAUAAACAAAAGCCUCAAUUCCAUCUUCCAACUCCUAUCAGUUAUUGCUCCUCCGGAGUAUCUGUUCCACAACAUAUAGAACACCACAAAUAAAACAAAAUAAGGGUGAGAGUACACUCAAAUAUAUUAGUAGUACAAAACAUAGCAAGGGUAACAUAUUCACAUAAUCAUCAAACACAUAUAAUAUUCUUAACAAAAAAAUUCACAAGGCUUUCAUGUAUGCAAUGUGACCAAUCAUCUCGACUCAAUGCAUGUGGUACUAUUUUGUUGACAUCAGAGUUAUGUUACUAAUAUUCAUCCACUCACUAUGGUUCUUCUUCGAACCCAAACUCAUCAUUGAUCCCCUCUUCUAAACCAAUGACUUGUCACUUCUCAACACCGACACACAUGAUACAUGAUUUAUGCAACAACGACAUCUAGGUGUAAAUACACCAGUGUUCCACCUCGAAUCAUACACAAUAUGAAUUAAGGUAAUUAGAGUAGUUCUCACUCCAAACCACACGCCUCAACAUCAACAACAUAUAAUUAUAUUCAGCAGCAUAUAAUUAUACCAAUAGUCCACAACUCAUGCACAUAAUUAUAAUUCAUAACAUAUAAUUAUGUAAAACAUCUCAGAUAUUAUUAAACUCAUCAUAUUAUUGUAUCUCAACAUAAAAAUAAAGGUCAUAUAAUUUAUCAUCAAUAAUUAUCUCAACAUCAACAUCCUCCAUCACGGGAUAAUCAUUAAUUCAAUCAAUCAUAACAACCAAAAUAAAAUGUUUUCAUCGUUAUUAACAAUUAAUUAGCGUUACAAAAUACGUAACACCAUAUAAUUGCAUCCUCAAGUACACUAUUAACCUCUUAGGAUCUUACUUUGAGGUAGUAAUAUGCGUUAUCUUUCCAAUGCUUCAAACCGCACCUCAAUUGGAGUCACGAAACUCAAGUUAUGAUUAAAAAUGUAUAUGAACAAAAUCAUCUCAGUCGUGACGUGUGGACCGUCACAAAGCUGACGAUCGUCGGCUUGUUCGAAGCAAUGAUGAAUUGAAUGUCACAAAGGUGACGACCGUCACUGCUGCAUAAUGCAAAAUUCUGUGUAUUUCACCAUAUGAGGACUUUCAGACCUUCCAUUUUGAUUCCGUAAAAACCAUAACACUCAGAAUUCGACAUACUGUAGUUAUAUAAAAUUAUAACAAGAUACAACACAUAUAUUAUAUAUCCUAACAUCAUUUAAUCAUCAAUCUAUUCCAAAUCUAAGAACAUAUUUAUCAAACCAAAACUCCAUAAACAUAAACAUUCAAACUCAGAUUUUCACAUACACAUCAUACACGAAGUUCAUCAAUAAAACAUGGCACAAAUUUCAUAUGAAUUACAACGAACAUAUUAAGUUUCACAAAAUCUCAUUCGAAACUCAUAAAACACCAACAAUGGGGAAAUAUAUAAGAAAAACCUAGAUGAGAGUGAUGAUCUCUCUCUAUCAUUCAUGCAUUUGACACCCAUAUACGAGUAGUUAUCUCCCCUUACCUUAACUUCCACCAUCAAAUUCAAGGUCUUGGAUAUGAUUUCUCCUUCCUAGAGCUCUUUAGGGUUCCUUGCCUCUUUC
rnacentral:lncRNA from 1 species